rnacentral:lncRNA from 1 species
GGGGAGGAGUCCGAAGGAAAUGUUAGCGAUGACAGCGGUCCGAGGUCUCUGAGUCUUUCCAGCGAAUCGGAAGAUUCACAGAAAGGGGCUCCCUUGGUCAGAGCAAGGGGGGUGCCGAGGGGGACACCCCAGGACGAAGGGGCCAGAGGGGACUCAGAGAGCAGCAGUUGGAAAUCAGGACCAGCGUCCACACCAGAGUGCAGUAGGGGGGAGGGGUCCCAGGCAUCGGGAUCAGGCGGCGCACUGCCAGUGGGAGGACAUGAGUCAGGAUUGGCCACGCCUCCAUCGGGGAGCGAGGAAACGGUCGAGAGGAAGGUUGAAGGCUGGGCGCGCGCGCCAAGUUCAAAUGUACAGGAGGGCGGCGCAGUUGGCAGCCCGGAUAGGGAGCCAGGUCCCAAAGCCCGCCGAAAAGAGGGGGAGGAGUCAGGGGGGUCAACGUCAGCGUCAGAAGAAUCCAGGAAGGAAGGGACCCCGGGGGGUAGCAGGACCCAGAGGAGAAAGGAGAGACGUAAGAGGUGGAGUAAGGCUAGAAUCUUAAACUGGUGUACAGGGG